rnacentral:tRNA from 1 species
GCGUCUGUAGCUCAGUUGGAUAGAGCACUAUUUUCCGAAAAUAGAGGUCUCAGGUUCAAUUCCUGAUAGACGCA